GUGCUUGCUUGGGCAGCACACACACUAAAAUUGGAAUGAUAAAGAGAUUAGCAUAGUCCCUGUGCAAGGAUGACAUGCAAAUUUGUGAAGCGUUCCGUAUUUUU